GGAGACUAACAGGAUGCGCUUAGUAACGGCGAGCGAACCGCGCAAAGCCCAACUUGAAAAUCUCCCUUGGAGAAUUGUAGUCUAUAGAAGUACCCUCUGCAACGGGCGGAGCUCAAGUCUCCUGGAAAGGAGCGUCAGAGAGGGUGAGAACCCCGUAAGCUCUUGCUUUGUUGCCUCACGAGGUGCUUUCACAGAGUCGGGUUGCUUGGGAAUGCAGCCCUAAUUUGGUGGUAAAUCCCAUCUAAGGCUAAAUAUUGGCGAGAGACCGAUAGCGAACAAGUACCGUGAGGGAAAGAUGAAAAGAACUUUGAAAAGAGAGUUAAAAAGUGCUUGAAAUUGUUGAGGGGGAAGCGUUUGAAUGCUAGAGUGCGCCUAGGCUUAUGGGUUCUUAACGGAGCUCUGUAUGUGCUAGGUGCUGGCCAGCAUGGGUUGGGCGAGUGGGAUAACAGCUGGGGUUGUUACCCGGUCUAUGCCACUUGCUUGACCAAGGCGUGAAGACUGCCCUUGUCCUUCGGGAACUGCAGUCUCAAGAUGCUGCAAAG
rnacentral:rRNA from 1 species